AGGCUUUGAUCCUGGCUCAGGAUGAACGCUGGCGGCGUGCUUAACACAUGCAAGUCGAACGAACCUACGGGUUAGUGGCGGACGGGUGAGUAACGCGUGAGAAUCUGCCCUCAGGAGGGGGAUAACGGCUGGAAACGGCCGCUAAUACCCCAUAUGCCGAGAGGUGAAAUGAGUUAUCGCCUGAGGAUGAGCUCGCGUCUGAUUAGCUAGUUGGUGGGGUAAGAGCCUACCAAGGCAUCGAUCAGUAGCUGGUCUGAGAGGAUGAUCAGCCACACUGGGACUGAGACACGGCCCAGACUCCUACGGGAGGCAGCAGUGGGGAAUUUUCCGCAAUGGGCGAAAGCCUGACGGAGCAACGCCGCGUGAGGGAUGAAGGCCUCUGGGCUGUAAACCUCUUUUAUGCAAGGAAGAAGAUCUGACGGUACUUGAUGAAUAAGCCACGGGUAU
rnacentral:rRNA from 1 species